rnacentral:misc_RNA from 1 species
GCCCCAUCGGAAAACUUUGAUAAAAAGAAAGAGCACCCCGAUAUGCAUGGCUAAAGCCAUGAACCCAACCCAUGCCAGGAUCGUGACAUUGCUUUGUGCUUGCAAGAACUUUUGGGUUGGGAAGUUGAUAGCAAGGGAGAACAUUUGAGGUAUGAUUUGUAUCGAAAACUUUCCAGCUAACUCUGCUAUGUCAUCUCUUUGGCCUAACAACUUCA